GUUUAUAACAAAAAAGAUGAACAACAAACAACAAUGUUGGCGAGUAUGUGAAGAAACUGGAAAUAUCAUACAUUGCUGGUGCUGGCAAUUUGUGCAAUUUGUGCAAACGCAGGAGCAACUUCCUCUCAAUUAAGAUAAUGUGGAUUGAAACAAGUUUCUUGGAAUCCACAUGGGAGAACAGACAACCUACAUGCACUGACAACUUGUGAACAAGUCCAGUGUAGUCUCUUUGAAGAUAAGACCAUACGGAGAUACAGGCCUAAUCACG